CACGUAGGGGGCGAGCGUUGUCCGGAUUUAUUGGGCGUAAAGAGCUCGUAGGCGGCUCGGUAAGUGAGGUGUGAAAACUCCAGGCUCAACCUGGAGACGCCACCUCAUACUGCUGUGGCUAGAGUCCGGUAGGGGAGCAUGGAAUUCCUGGUGUAGCGGUGAAAUGCGCAGAUAUCAGGAGGAACACCAGUGGCGAAGGCGGUGCUCUGGGCCGGAACUGACGCUGAGGAGCGAAAGCGUGGGGAGCAAACAGG
rnacentral:rRNA from 1 species